rnacentral:tRNA from 1 species
CGAUUCCCACUUCUUCCGCCAAAUUCUGGUUCUCAAGCUCAUAUGGUAUGAGCACCCAGCUCAUAACUGGAAGGUACGUAGGUUCGAAU